rnacentral:rRNA from 1 species
UACGUAGGGGGCGAGCGUUGUCCGGAUUUAUUGGGCGUAAAGCGCGUGUAGGCGGCUUUGCAAGUCGGGUGUGAAAGCCCUCAGCUCAACUGAGGAAGUGCGCCCGAAACUGCAGAGCUUGAGUGCCGGAGAGGGUGGCGGAAUUCCCCAAGUAGAGGUGAAAUUCGUAGAUAUGGGGAGGAACACCGGUGGCGAAGGCGGCUUCCUGGACCGACACUGACGCUGAGGCGCGAAAGCUAGGGGAGCAAACGGG